GUAUUGCUUCGGCAAUGCAUAUACUAAAAUUGGAAAGAUACAGAGAAGAAUAGCAUGGCCCCUGCACGAGGAUGACACCGCAAAUUUGCGAAGCGUCCCAUAUUUUU